ensembl:lncRNA
CCAUGAUUGAAAAGACAUGUUGCUCCCAAACAGACAAGAGGCAUUUUCUGAAACAAAUUCUUUCUGAAAAAUGUAGCUUGUGGAGUUAUUACACUGCAAAUCAGAGAAGGAUCACAAAAAGCUACAGCCAACAUUUAACACUGGUAUAACACUCUACCCCAAGCUGAGCAGCAGAAGUUUUAAAGCUGGAUCAAAACCACGUCAGCCAUAGGCUACCAACAAGAGUGGCAUUAACUGCUGUGCCUUCAACUUAAGAAAAGCACUGAAAACAUCCCAUUUCCUAUAAAAGAUCAUUUCCCAGAAAAGAAUGGAUUUAUUCAAUCAGAAGCCUAUUAGAACUGGAACUAAAGAGCUCUCCUCCUCCACCUCAGUUGUCCAUUUUCCUUCAGUCAACAGUAUCUCUAGCAAAUCAUUUGACAGAUUUGGCUUCUCAGAAGAGUCCUUGUCAUUUCAGCACAGUGUGGAAUGGGGAAAACUGCAGUUACAAGGGAACUAGGAGAGUACAAAAGGACAGUCACUUCUGAAGCUCACUGACGCUCAGGAAGUCAGAGGCCCUCUGUGACAGUGAGUCUCAUGUGCCUGAGAGCUUUGUGCUUGAGGAGACACUCCUUAGAGGUAGCUCUGGUUCUAGUUUAUAUUUAAUUACAAUUUGCUGUAUCCUGUCACAGGGAAGUGUUAACAUUUUCAGCAAGGUAUAAGCACUCCAAAUUUCCUCUUUACCCACCCUAUAGCUUCCUCACAGAAAAGGGUAAGAAAAAGCUUAACUGACUCCAUAGAGUUAUAGCAGCUAAUUCAGCAAUUCGCACCUAACCAUGGAUUGACAGGACUAGGAAAGGCAACCUGGUGCAACGAGCUGCAUGAGCUAGGCCUGCAGAAGUGUGGUGGCCAGCGUGUCCACAGCACGCAGGGACGGGGCGAGGCCAGUAACUACGGGGCACAGAUGGAGAACUGCUUUUACGCAUUUCCUAGCACAUUCUGUCACAGCAACAAAACCACCAAAUCAGGAAUGGAUUUGACUGUAUUCUUCAACUGCAAAGGUGUCUUUGCCCCCCCAACCUCCUAUGUACACUUCAUGGAAGAAAGAAAGACCACUCUUCUGUAUGUGAAUACAGGGCCUAGCAGGAAGGGGGCAGGGAUGGGCACAAACAGCACGGUCUAUAACAAAACACUUUUUGCAAAGAUUUAUGUAACUCUAAGUAUUAAAAUGAAGGUUUUACCUCUACAUAUGUAUCAUUCUGUAGUCCUGCUCCCACAUGAAUAUGGUCUGGUCAUAUUUGAAAGAGAACUCGAGUGUGAACAAGGAAUCCAAAGGGUAAUUUUACAGAGAUGCAAGAGCUGCUAAUAAACUUACCAGAGGGUCCAUCCUUCUACUCUGAGCCUCUUUCCUUUAUUCAAUUCUCUGAAUGUCAAGUUGAAAGGAAUAAAAAGAACCAAAUAUUCAGACCAAAUUAACUAUGGGCCAUAAGCCAUUCAUCACAUAGGAUAUCACUUAAAUGAUACUGAAAAAAUGUCUACUGCCUGAAGUAUUCAUUUUUAAAAAGUCAAUAUACUGAAAAUCUCAAAGGAGGAAGUGGUAGGAGAACCUUCUUCCUCUCCUUCAAAUAAAUCAUUAAAUACACUGGGUAACAUUAUACUGUCAUUUCUAUCAUAACAAUAUAAACAAUUUCCAUCAUCCUGAACAUUAUAAAGAUAUAUAUAUAUAUA